rnacentral:rRNA from 1 species
UACGGAGGGUGCAAGCGUUAAUCGGAAUUACUGGGCGUAAAGCGUGCGCAGGCGGUUUGUUAAGUCUGCUGUGAAAUCCCCGAGCUCAACUUGGGAAUUGCAGUGGAUACUGGCAGGCUGGAGUAUGGUAGAGGAAGGUGGAAUUCCCGGUGUAGCAGUGAAAUGCGUAGAGAUCGGGAGGAACACCAGUGGCGAAGGCGGCCUUCUGGACCAAUACGGACGCUCAUGCACGAAAGCGUGGGGAGCAAACAGG